rnacentral:rRNA from 1 species
UACGGGGGGGCAAGCGUUGUUCGGAAUUAUCUUGGGCGUAAAGGGCUCGUGAUGGCGGCCAACUAAGUUCAGACGAUGAAAUUCCCGUCGGCUUAAACCGGGGAACUGCGUCUGAUACUGGAUGGCUUGAGUUUGGGAGAGGGAUGCGGGAAUUCAGGUGUAGCGGUGAAAUGCGUAGAUAUCUGGAGGAACACCGGUGGCGAAGGCGGCAUCCUGGACCGGCAUUGACGCUGAGGCGCGAAAGCUA